rnacentral:sRNA from 12 species
GCAACAGCUCUGGAGACUGAGCUUUCUGUUUAUCUGCAGAGCAAAUGUGAUGUGACCUGCAGCAGGGCAAACCUGCUCUCAGCCUGUCUGAGCCCAGCCUUGAGGGGUACAGCUGCCAGGGUGGAAGAGGUGUUAUGUCUGCCUGUCUUCCUCCGCCCUGGUCCUCU